CAGUGCCCCCAUGACAAAGCUUUCCAUAAGAAUGACAGACCUAUAGCCAGGUCCAGAAGGCUAGAUUCUGAGCCAUGGCUGUGGGAGGUGGGCUUCAGAGGAGCACCAGAGCAGACUAUCAGGAUGCUGGGUGUCACCACACCUGGCUAGAGGUCAGAGGUCAGACUUGAGAGAGAGAAGCAGAGAGAGAGGAUGGAGACCAGAGGGCGCAGUACCAGGGCAGGGGUUCUGUUCUGGACCCCUGCUCCUCAACACCCCUCUCCCUCCAGCUCCAUAGACUCAGACGUGGACUGGUGGGAUGAGGAUGAGGAGGAAGGUGGGGACAGGAAAGAAGAGGAAGAAAAGGACUUCCACAGCCAGAUGGAUGAGAAUGGGAUUAUAGGACUGGAGAACGCCUUGCAGAAUGUGGGUCUGGGAGAAGAGGAGGAGGAGGGAGAGGAGGAGGGAGUGGAGAAUGGAGAGGAUGAUCUGCCCUGGUACUCUGGAGCCUUGGACCCAGAGGGACCCAGGGAGGGGUUCCUGUCCUCCAGUAGGGCAGCUGGGAUGGGGCUGGACUAGAGGUUGGAGCAGGUAGACCCGUUGGAGGAGCUGAGUUAUAACCUGAGUGACCUGCAGAGCUCUGAGCCUCUGUCUCAGUCUGAGCCACCUGGAGAGGACACGCAACCCUGUCAUUCGGUGAGUCACACACUAACAAACACUACAAACAUUGUCAUCACUUCUUUAGUCAAAUAAUAACACAUUUCAGCAAAGCCAAAAGCAUCAAAGCCUCAGUCACGGUUGGUAGAGAGUGACAACAGAGGGGGGACACGGUUGGUAGAGAGUGACAACAGAGGGAGGACACGGUUGGUAGAGAGUGACAACAGAGGGAGGACACGGUUGGUAGAGAGUGACAACAGAGGGGGGACACGAUUGGUAGAGAGUGUGUCUGAAGACCUCUCCUCCCUUUUCCCUCCUGACCUGCUCAGUCCACCCCCCACAUGUCCCUUCUCCCCUCCCAGAGGUUGUACCUUUCUUUACCUCCUCGACUUCUCCUCCGAGGAGUUGGCUAAUGCUCCCGGGAUUGAAGCUGAGACAUUCCCGGAGGAACCCACCUUUACAGAGAGCCUUCCGGAAUCCCGCAGCAGCCAAAUGAGCCAUGCCCCCAGGCCUCAUUGGCAGCCUGAGUCAGGGGGGGAGGAGCUCAAGACUAGGACCUCCCCUUACCCAGCAGCCAUCUUUCCUGAGCAUGGGAUAUCUUACCGACUCAGAGAGAGAAACAAGGGCGGUGAAGAGAGCCUACAGGAUGAGUCAGGCACUAACUACUGGCAACACGCCUCUCACUCUCCGAGGAAGAUGAGACAGCACUCACCUGACACUCCACGAGCCAUGACUCGUUCCCCUCAGAAAGGCUGGCAUGCACCCCCACAGUCCCCUCGUCGCAGCAGCACCCAGGACAGGAGCCUCCGCACCCACAGGGAGGGUCCCCCCAAGCCAGGAGCCAUGACCCUGACAUUGACGAGGGCUGGAGAGGGCCCCACCCCAGACUUCUCCAAGGUAGAGCCCAGGGUCCGCUUCCCCAUGAACGGCUACACCCUUGACCCCCCAAGAGCAAAGGCUUCGCCAGAAAGAGGUCUCUGUCAGUGGAGCCCACCCUGGUGUUCAAGUCCCCUGCUGACAUAGUGAGAGAGGUGCUGCUGAGCAGUACAGACGGACCCCCUCACCCCCCAAUGGGCCCCACAGGCGCCUAAACUCCACGGUGCCAGAGGACUUCAGAUGCCCACGACAGGCCAGCACUCUGGUACAGCAGCUGCAGGAGGACUACAACAGGCUGCUGACCAAGUAUGCUGAGGCAGAGAACACUAUUGAUCGGAUGCGUCUUAAAGCCAAGGCAGUCUAUAAAAGUGGGCCUCUACUCUGACCCUCCCAAUUGCAGUGACGCUGUCUAAUCAGGUGUGCUACAUGAAGGUUAAAAAGUCAUGACCUUAACCUCUCCCCAAGCUCAGAGGGCGGAGCUCAGCUCAGGCUCCAUUCACCUGAAUGAACAGGCUGCCCACCAAGGACCUGGUGGAAUCUCCCCUGUCCGUCCCUCCUCAAUGGCCUCCUCUUCCUCGAGAAGCCUGGGCCCUGGAGUUGGAGAGGGCUCUCAAAGCAGACUGACAGAUUCCUCCACCAGGUGCAGACAUUUGAAGAGCUCCUGAGGAGAGGGAUACUCAAACCGUUUGAGCAGAUGAAGCUACCAGAGUUUCAGGGAGGUGCCCAGACUGCUAAAACCUGGAUCUGACAGAGGGAGACCAUGACUUUCCUGAUGCAGGAGAAGAAGCCACACAUGCAGGCGGUGAGGGGAGAAGAGAGGGACCACGCCCAGGGACCAGGAGGGAGGAGGGCCACACAAGUCUCCCUCAGAGAUAGCCAAUGCUAGGUCAGAAGGACGCUACAUUCAUUCCAAUGGCAAGACCAAGGACCAGCAAAUCAGUUCUUUGUUCCCCUAAAGACCUCAGCCAAUCCCCUGCAUUUCAUGGCUCGCCUGCCAAUGACAGCAAGAGGUCAGAGGUCAGGAAGUCUCGAGGCAGUAGUCUCACCAGUCUGGGGGGGAGUACUGCGUCAGAGAGGAGGGGCUCCAAACAGCAGCCUGGGACCAGGAGAGUGUCAUCUCAGGUCAAUUACUUAAAAGACUGUAUCAAGCUUCCAUUACAUUUUUGACUGCUUAUUCACCUAUCUGGUGUCUGCUGUGAAAGAAACAGUUCAUUACUUUUUGCACACUAUCCACCCAUUUCCUGUUCAUGACUGAAAACACAAUGUAAUUGCAUCUAACUUGUUUCCAAAACAUGUUCAACCAACAAAGAAAUAUCUGAAUUUGUACUUUUUUGUAAUUUAACUGACACUCUCAUCCAUAGCUAGGUGGGACCACACAUCACAGUCAUAGUAAAUACAUUUUUCCUCAAUAAAGUAGCUAUCAGCAGUCAGAGCUGGGGAAAAAGUGUAUAGGUCUAUACAUAUGAAUAAUAAUGUUGAAUAAUAAGAAUGUUGUUAAUUUAUCUUGACAAUUCAGCAAUAUCUUCUAAACCAGCAGUAAAUUGUCUCUCAAACCCUCUGUGUGGAUAGGAUAGGAUCAUCUCACUAGAGAUGUGGGCUCUGAGAGCGGUCACCUGACUCCUGCAGCACCCAGUCCCUUCCACCAGAUGGCCACAGCGAGUCUGUGUAACCUGUCAGUUCCAGAGGAGCAGAACUCAGGGAAGCCCCAACACACGCCCCCUCUCCCCUCCUCCUCCCCCUCACAAAGACCUCAGAGACCCCCCUCGCUGGAGCACAGUGGAGGCUCUCCUCUCAGCACCCCAAGGCGGGUACGAGAGUCUUCAGGGAGAACCAGGGGAGGGGGGGCCUCAGCAUCCAGGUUCCCCCAGACCUGGGCUGAGAACCUCAGCAUCAAUGUUCCCCCAGCCACGGGCUGGCAGUGGUACCAGUGAGUUUGGACCAGGCAGUGACCAUAUCCACACUGUGUCAGGGGAGGACAAGGGACAGAGUGACCGUUCCACCUGAACACCCAAUCCCCAGCACUGCUACCAGCCAAGCCACUCCACCACUGCACCCUAUCACCAUGGCGAUCCCCCUCGGGCCCUGAGCUCUGGUCAGUUGACUAAUCGUACUACUCCAGCCCAGUGAUAAAGGCAGCUCCAUCCCAACCCCAGCCCAUCUAUGUGUCUCUGAGUGGGGGUGUGGCCUCUGGGGUCAGGAGUCGUGAGCAGGUCAGAGGUGGAUCUGGCCGUUCCGUCUGCUGACCUGCACUCUCUGAACCAUGCCAUUGAGGCGGCCAGGGAGAUGAGGGAGGCCUCCAAACGCAUGGCCCGCUCCAUCGCCACUGGACUGCACCACCAGAAGGCGCUGUCACAGUUACGCAUGCACAGAUGGAUCAGACCAGAAAUACACCAGGGUUGUAUUUAUUAGGCACCAAGCAGAAGAAAACCGACUGAAACGGGGAGGGACUUCCUGAAUUUGUCCAAUAAGAAACGCUUGUUUCAUUUGUGUAUUGUGUGUAAUACUUAGUUAAUAAGGUUACUAAUUGGUGUCAGUGUUACUGUAGUGUAAACUUAUUUUAUACGAAAAUUUAACACUAAAAUAAGAUUUCAGAAAUACACAUUUAUAGGAUUUCAGAAAUGCAGAUUUGGAAAAAUCUAUAUUCUGGUAUCUUUUGUACUUUUGUACUGUGGUUGAUUAUCAAAUGAUUUUUGUUCAAAUAUUUUGUAGUAAAACAUUUGUA